rnacentral:lncRNA from 7 species
GAGCACGAAAAAGCCCCAAAUAAGUGAUCCCUGCACAACUGCAACAUGCCUUUGCCUUCUCUGCCUCAGGACAAGGCGUCCUGUUCGUGUCCUGGCUGGGGUGAGCUGUGAUCAGGAAGUUCAUCUCGCACUGUUCAGCAACGAGACGUGCUUGGGUUAAGCAGAAAAAAGCUAAUCAUUCCCUAAAGGAGGAAGGGAAGUCUGUAGUGGAAACCCCCAAAUUAUUAUCUGGGGAGGUUUGCGAACCGAUUCCAAAAUGCUUAUGGAAGUAAAAGCAAACACCUGUGCUCUGAAAGAUUCCCUUAUUAGAGAAAAAAGCUCUGAAUAAGAAGAGAAAUAAUGAGGAAAGAAAACCCAACAUUUUUCAUCUUUCCGCAUUUCCCCAGCUGACAGCACAAGCAAACUCUGCUCUCCCUGAGCCGUGCGCCUCAAGGCUGCCCAGCAAACGCCUGAAGCCUCUUCCCUCCAACCUGUCGCCUCGCACCGCUGAUAGCAAAGUGUCCCUCCAAGGUCUCAGCCAUGCACCGAGUGUCUGCUGGGACUGCAGGCUGCUGCGUGGCAAAGUGCAGGAACGAGCUGGCUGCCUGGGAUCAUCCACCUGCCUCUGUGAACGUUAGACUCACCGACCCGGCUAUGCAAAGAGAGGCCAGUGGGGCGAAGGUGGAAUAUGCAUAGCUUCGUAGCACCAGCGACUAAAGUGGGAAUGGUGCGUUGUCGACCUGCAACUUUGCAUCUGUCGAGAGUGGCUAAUUAACGGCAGCCCUAAUUGAAGUUGCUGUGGGUUACCCUGCUUCAGGCUCUCUGUUUCAAACACCUGCUCCAGACUCGCAGCCACGGGUCACCUCCAAGUGCUCCAAACCAGCACAAGGCAAGCGGAAGGUGGGCUGGUAGAAAACUGUGUCUCACUCAUUACAGAAAGUGAAACGUGGGGAUAGUUCCAAUCAAAUUCAGUUCAUCACGUCCUUGCCUAUAGCAGAGGGAUUGGAACUAGAUGAUCUUAAAGGUCCCUUCCAAC